rnacentral:lncRNA from 1 species
GGGGUGCUUCAGCAGCAGUGCAAUGACGAGCAUGCACAGGAUUGAUUGUAUUUUCCUUGGAUGGCUUUCUUGAGCCUUGGAAAUCUGGCUCACUGGGAAUUCUAGGCUUCUGUUGUCCCUUGCUUCCUAUCUCCAGCUGCAAUUAUAAAGAUGCACACACACAAAAGAGAAAGAGGAGCAGAAAGAGUGAAGAAAACAUGUCCAUUUAUCAGAAAAUAAAUAUACAAGUACAAUAGAAGAAAAAGGGGUAGAAAACAUUUUGAAGAUUUAGAAAGGUAGAAGAAAAGGGGGUAGAAAACAUUUUGAAGAUUUAGAAAGAUCCUUCGAGUCCUAUCUCAGAAAAGAGAGAAAUGGCUUAUCCAAUAUUUAAGCAGAGACAAAUGGCAUAUGAAGAGGACUUAUCAGGGCAGUGGAGAGAAUUGGUGAUGAAAAUUGGUAGGGGACCAAAAGCACAAUGAUGCCUUUCUUUUUACUCACAUUUGGUGACAUCCAUAGUGAGAAACAGCAGUUCCACUGUCCAACACCAGGAAAUGUUCUGACUGCUUCACCACUCCAACUAAUACUUACAGAGGUGUGGCCUAUUCCCACUUGUACUGGGGGCUUUAGAAUCCGACUCCUUACAUUCCUAAGACUAAAAGACAUUUUGUGCUAUUUUAUGUUCUGAGAAGGAUUGAUUACCACAAAGACAGAUCUAUAGAGAAUGUGAGUGGAAACUAUACGAGCUGCUAAUGGGACAAGGCAUUUAAGAAUCAUCCGAGUUCUUCUCUUCUUGCUGGCUGGAGCUAAGAAUUCAAGAACAAACACCAGCAAAGAGAUUCAAUACAAAUAUCCAAUUUUGAGAUAAGGGACGGAUAACCAUAGUGUGAGUUGAGCCACAGAAAUGUGGAUGAAUUCAAUAAAUAUUUGGAUGAUUGUUUAACAUUACUUCCUAAUUGAUGGGAAUAAAAAAGUAUAACAAAGAGAAGAAAUCAAGGCUGCAGCAUGACAAAAGGUUUAUAUUUUAACUUCAAGAGAUCACACAUACUCUGUUUUUUCCUCUACUGAAAGAUUAGACUAACAAUCCAAUUUACCUGGACAAAAUAAGUUUCUGGGAGAUUCUGAAAGUUUGUUAUCUUCCUUAUCCUUGCCUUUUUGUAUUUGAGAAUUAUAUCACCAUUCUCACCAUUCUAGGAUGUUUUCACUAAUAAUUUUUGAGAUUUAAUUUAUAAAUAUCAAGCUUCCUGGUUCUUGAAACCUACCCAUAGUUAACAACUGAUUCCUAGUUCUAGGGUUAACAACUGAUUCCUAGUUUCAGGGUUUCCCUGAAUAUUAUCUUUAUGCCAGCUUUAUAGCAUUUUGGAAGGCUCAUUUAUCCCACAUUAUGAUAUUCUCCUGCUUUCAAUUUCUCUGUGUCUUCUCGUUUCUCUUAAGGCUAAGCUGGACAUUGCAAACAGGGUAGUCUCUUCUAUCUUGCCCAGCCUUUUCUCCUAUCCCAUUUUUGCAUUCUCUCUAUUCUCUGAUCACAGAAUUGUUUUCAUUUCUGAAGGUACAACUAGUGUCACAUCUUAUGCACAUGCUGUUCCCUUUACUAGGAUUAUACUUUCCCUUAAAUUAUCUACCCUUUGCUUGCUUUAUUCUGACUUAACUUCAGAUUAUGGCUCAAAUGUAUUUCCUCAUAGAAUUCUUCCUUGACACCUCAUAAUAAAUAA